UGGGGAAUAUUGCACAAUGGGGGAAACCCUGAUGCAGCGACGCCGCGUGAGUGAAGAAGUACUUCGGUAUGUAAAGCUCUAUCAGCAGGGAAGAAAGUGACGGUACCUGAGUAAGAAGCCCCGGCUAACUACGUGCCAGCAGCCGCGGUAAUACGUAGGGGGCAAGCGUUAUCCGGAUUUACUGGGUGUAAAGGGAGUGUAGACGGCGAUGCAAGUCUGGAGUGAAAGCCCGGUGCUCAACACCGGGACUGCUUUGGAAACUGUAAAGCUGGAGUGCCGGAGAGGUAAGCGGAAUUCCUAGUGUAGCGGUGAAAUGCGUAGAUAUUAGGAAGAACACCAGUGGCGAAGGCGGCUUACUGGACGGUAACUGACGUUGAGGCUCGAAAGCGUGGGGAGCAAACA
rnacentral:rRNA from 1 species